AGCAUAUCAAUAAGCGGAGGAAAAGAAACCAACAGGGAUUGCCCUAGUAACGGCGAGUGAAGCGGCAACAGCUCAAAUUUGAAAUCUGGCGUCUUCGGCGUCCGAGUUGUAAUUUGCAGAGGGCGCUUUGGCAUUGGCAGCGGUCCAAGUUCCUUGGAACAGGACGUCACAGAGGGUGAGAAUCCCGUACGUGGUCGCUAGCCUUUACCGUGUAAAGCCCCUUCGACGAGUCGAGUUGUUUGGGAAUGCAGCUCUAAAUGGGAGGUAAAUUUCUUCUAAAGCUAAAUACUGGCCAGAGACCGAUAGCGCACAAGUAGAGUGAUCGAAAGAUGAAAAGCACUUUGGAAAGAGAGUUAAAAAGCACGUGAAAUUGUUGAAAGGGAAGCGCUUGCAGCCAGACUUGCCUGUAGUUGCUCAUCCGGGUUUCUACCCGGUGCACUCUUCUAUAGGCAGGCCAGCAUCAGUUUGGGCGGUUGGAUAAAGGUCUCUGUCAUGUACCUCUCUUCGGGGAGAACUUAUAGGGGAGACGACAUGCAACCAGCCUGGACUGAGGUCCGCGCAUCUGCUAGGAUGCUGGCGUAAUGGCUGUAAGCGGCCCGUCUUGAAACACGGACCAAGGAGUCUAACAUCUAUGCGAGUGUUUGGGUGUCAAGCCCGAGCGCGUAAUGAAAGUGAACGGAGGUGGGAACCUUUCGGGGUGCACCAUCGACCGAUCCUGAUGUCUUCGGAUGGAUUUGAGUAAGAGCAUAGCUGUUGGGACCCGAAAGAUGGUGAACUAUGCUUGAAUAGGGUGAAGCCAGAGGAAACUCUGGUGGAGGCUCGCAGCGGUUCUGACGUGCAAAUCGAUCGUCAAAUUUGGGCAUAGGGGCGAAAGACUAAUCGAACUAUCUAGUAGCUGGUUCCUGC
rnacentral:rRNA from 1 species